rnacentral:misc_RNA from 1 species
AAGUCGUAACAAGGUUUCCGUAGGUGAACCUGCGGAAGGAUCAUUACGAAAUGUUGUAGUAUUGAAGCGCCCCACGGCGCUCCUACACUUCACCCUUUGCCUAUACGUACCUUAUAGCUUCCUCGGCAGGCUUGCCUGCCGCUAGGAACCAACCAAACCCUUUGCAUUAUACAUGAAAACUUCUGAUACAAACCUAAAUUAUCACAACUUUCAACAAUGGAUCUCUUGGUUCUG